rnacentral:rRNA from 1 species
UACGGAGGGUGCAAGCGUUGUCCGGAAUCACUGGGCGUAAAGGGCGCGUAGGCGGCUCAUGAAGGCUGUGGUGAAAGUCCGGGGCUCAACCUCGGAUCGGCCGUGGCGACUCGUGGGCUGGAGCACUGUAGAGGCGGGUGGAAUUCCGGGUGUAGCGGUGGAAUGCGUAGAGAUCCGGAAAGAACACCAGUGGCGAAGGCGGCCCGCUGGGCAGUGGCUGACGCUGAGGCGCGACAGCGUGGGGAGCAAACAGG